AUGGCACCGGCAGACCCAGAUACACGACGAAUGAUCCAAGCCAAGCUAGCCAUCGUGAGGCGCGGUGGAGUUGACGAGGCUGGCGAUCCUGACCCUGGGCUUGGAGUAGUCGCCGGUGAGCAGCUUGGAGGCGACGAUGGCGUUGGCGAACUCGGUGAGGUGGAUGCCGUCCCAGCUGAUGAACUUUGCGUCCAUGUCGCACAGCUGCAUCUCCCCCGACAUGCACAUCUUGAAGUGGUUGUAGUUGUGGGGUGGGCCGCCGUUGCCGCAGCACGCCAUGAGGGGCCUCUCGACGCCGUACUUGGUGUGGUUGGCCACGAGGUCAUACUUGAUGGGGUACAGGUCGGUGAAGACGAUGGCGGCGUCGGCCAUGCGCUGCCGGAGCUGGUUGCAGGUCUCGGCGAGCUUCUCGUUGAAGGCCUUGGCGACGUCGUUGUACUUGUUGAGGCAGCCGUUGGCGUCGAGGUCGCUGUCGUCGUCCCUGGGGAUGGACAGCUUCUGCGGCAGGCAGCCCAGCGCCCCCGUCCCGUGGAUCCAGAACUUCCGAGCCCCGUGCGCGUACAGGGUCUACAGGGAUCUUGGCGAGCACUUGAUCGUAGGGGAGGUGAAGAUAAGCGGAGAGAUCGUUGUGCCCGAUGUCGAUGGCGUAGAUGGCGUUCCGGAACCCCUCCCGAUCAACAGGCGUCUUCUCACCUGCAUCACAUCUCACAACAAACAGCCAUCAAGCUCGAAAGACCUGGUUCUGAAGUAGAGGAACUGAUGAAGCUGCACGUCGAGCGAGAAGGGGGAUCCCCCCGGCGUCGCCGUCGACCCGCCGAUGGCGAAGUUGGCGCCGUUGCUGAAGUCGGAGCCCAGCGCCUUGAGAUACGGGCUCAGAUGAGGCGUGCCCAGGCUCUCACCUGCAUCAUGGCAUGGACAAAAAAAACGAUAUUGCCCAUAAGUGAGUGGAGUGCAAACACUUUGACGCAAUGGGAUGGCUUCCCUUUGGGCAACGCAAGCGUACAUGUGGAGUGGCCGCAUAAAUCGCCUUUAUGA
rnacentral:rRNA from 1 species